UACCAGCUGGCUGCAACUGUUUAUUAAAAACACAGCACUGUGCAAACACGAAAGUGGACGUAUACGGUGUGACGCCUGCCCGGUGCCGGAAGGUUAAUUGAUGGGGUCAGCGCAAGCGAAGCUCCUGAUCGAAGCCCCGGUAAACGGCGGCCGUAACUAUAACGGUCCUAAGGUAGCGAAAUUCCUUGUCGGGUAAGUUCCGACCUGCACGAAUGGCGUAAUGAUGGCCAGGCUGUCUCCACCCGAGACUCAGUGAAAUUGAACUCGCUGUGAAGAUGCAGUGUACCCGCGGCAAGACGGAAAGACCCCGUGAACCUUUACUAUAGCUUGACACUGAACAUUGAGCCUUGAUGUGUAGGAUAGGUGGGAGGCUUUGAAGUGUGGACGCCAGUCUGCAUGGAGCCGACCUUGAAAUACCACCCUUUAAUGUUUGAUGUUCUAACGUGGACCCGUGAUCCGGGUUGCGGACAGUGUCUGGUGGGUAGUUUGACUGGGGCGGUCUCCUCCUAAAGAGUAACGGAGGAGCACGAAGGUUGGCUAAUCCUGGUCGGACAUCAGGAGGUUAGUGCAAUGGCAUAAGCCAGCUUGACUGCGAGCGUGACGGCGCGAGCAGGUGCGAAAGCAGGUCAUAGUGAUCCGGUGGUUCUGAAUGGAAGGGCCAUCGCUCAACGGAUAAAAGGUACUCCGGGGAUAACAGGCUGAUACCGCCCAAGAGUUCAUAUCGACGGCGGUGUUUGGCACCUCGAUGUCGGCUCAUCACAUCCUGGGGCUGAAGUAGGUCCCAAGGGUAUGGCUGUUCGCCAUUUAAAGUGGUACGCGAGCUGGGUUUAGAACGUCGUGAGACAGUUCGGUCCCUAUCUGCCGUGGGCGCUGGAGAACUGAGGGGGGCUGCUCCUAGUACGAGAGGACCGGAGUGGACGCAUCACUGGUGUUCGGGUUGUCAUGCCAAUGGCACUGCCCGGUAGCUAAAUGCGGAAGAGAUAAGUGCUGAAAGCAUCUAAGCACGAAACUUGCCCCGAGAUGAGUUCUCCCUGAGACUUUAGGUCUCCUGAAGGAACGUUGAAGACGACGACGUUGAUAGGCCGGGUGUGUAAGCGCAGCGAUGCGUUGAGCUAACCGGUACUAAUGAACCGUGAGGCUUAACCUU
rnacentral:rRNA from 1 species